AUACAAACUCAAACAAAAAACUACCUAAUGGUUUUUAUUGGGUACCUAAUGAGUUUUUAUUGGGUUGUAACCAUAUUUUACAGGCAGUUUGUAUAACUUAUGCAAUGGAAACUUUGGGUGGUGUGGUGUGUGAUGAUGGAGAUUUGGUUAUAUUUAUUUUCUUGUGAGAAUGGAGUGGUGGGGUUAUAACUUGGGUUACAACCCAAUUAGCAGGGCUAUACGUGGUUAAUGGAUGACCUCUGGAACUAUAUAUGUGGUUAAUGAAGAUCGAUCUUGUUACCAUUCUGUGCAUGUACGUGUUCUCAUUCUAAAUCUCA
rnacentral:lncRNA from 1 species